ACAGUCUGUCAGCACGCAACCCCAUCUCCAGCAUCACUGUCAGACCCAAUCCACGGCGUAAAACUCCACCAAAACUCACAGCAGCCGCAGCCGCCAGUGACGUUAUAAUUCCCCAGCUAACAAUCCCCAAAUAAUCGCUCAACCGGUCACCGGCAAUCCCCCUUUCCGGUCUCUCGGUUCCCAUUUUCCCAACAAAUCUCUCUCAGGCCCUCUCUCCCUCUUGCCGAUACUAACCGAAUCACAAGUCCGAAAUCCCGAAACCGAAAAUCAGUGACAGACUCAGAGAGAGAGAGAGAGCGUGAGUGUGUGUGUGAAGCCCGUUGUAUUUGGCGAAAAUGGCGUCGUCGAAGGUGAUGACUUCAACGAACUCUAAUUCGAGGAAACCGGAUCAACCUCGACGCGCUUCUUCUUCCUCAGUUACAAAAGCCCAAUCACUCUCCGAUCACGGCAGAAACACAAGUGCCAAAGCCAACAAUCUCGGAUCCUCCUCAAUGACCGUCGAUGGACUUCUUCGCACUGUUUACGACUCCAACCCUUCCACCACCGAAUCCACCCUCCUCGACGCCCAAAUCACCGUGAUGGAAACCCCGACCCCGGUCCCCUCAGAUUCCCAUCCAAACGGUUCCUCCCAUGCUCCAAAAACAGUGGACGAGGUCUGGAACGAGAUCGUCUCGGGCGACAGGAAGGAGUGCAAGGUUGAGGCGCCGGAUGAGAUGAUGACUCUGGAGGAUUUUCUGGCCAAGGCCGGGGCCGUGGAGGAAGAGGACAUGAAGGUCGUGCCUUCCGAGCGGCUCAGCGGAGGGGUUUUCGCGUUCGAUUCAGUCACACCGAGCCCGUUCGCGGCUUUGGAUAGCGUCGACGGGGCCAUUGUAGGGUUUGGAAAUGGGGUGGAUGUGAUUGCAGGUGCAGGUGCAGGUGCAGGUGCAGGGAGAGGGAAGAGGGGCCGCGCGGUCUUGGAGCCGUUGGAUAAGGCGGCCCAGCAGAGGCAACGGCGGAUGAUCAAGAACCGGGAGUCCGCCGCAAGGUCCAGGGAGAGGAAACAGGCGUAUCAAGUCGAAUUAGAGUCGAUAGCGACGAGACUAGAGGAGGAGAAUGAGCAGCUGUUGAAAGAGAAGCAUUUCGUGUCAUGUUGAACAGUGAUGCUGAGAGAUGAUUAUGUUCUGUGCUGUAUACCCCAUUAUAUUAUGGCUGAGAGGGCUAAGGAAAGGUUUAAGCAGAUCAUGGAAAAAGUUAUUCCAGUGGUGGAGAAGCGAAGACCACCACGUGAGCUUCGAAGAGUUCAUUCGAUGCAGUGGUAGAUUUUAUAUGCUCAGCAGUGUGGACAAAAAAAGGAAACAACCUUCAGUGGAAUAGGGAGGAAAAAGGAAACAAUGUAAUUGGAAAUCAAUAAUCUUUUAGGUAAAUAUUUGAACCCGAUGGUUCGUCCAAAGAGCAAUCGUGGUUAGUGAUUACAAGAGUGAUAGGGAUUGCAAGCAGAGUCUUAAGGGAAAUUCCUUAUACAGCUGAAGAAAGAGGAUUUCUAUUGAAGAAAUAGGCAGAAAUUUUGAAGUUGAAUUAUGUAGUUGGCGUGCUAUAUGAUUUUUUUAAAUUUAUUUGUUACUGUGAAACUUGAUUGCCUUGUCAUGGGAGAAAUCAAGGUAGCCUGUAUUAUAGCUUUGAAGGUAGCAGUUCUAAUAGCAGAUUAUUGCA